GGUCCGAUGCCACGUCGCUGGUAGCUUUAAUUCAGCGGUGACCAGUGAUGCUAUGAUUGGACCAAAAUCAAAAGUGAAUUUCGUUUGUUUCGCAUUCUGAUAGGAAUCUGUGGAUUUCAUACUUUAUGAUCUGCGGAGCCGUUUUGUGCGAUUACAUUU
rnacentral:snoRNA from 1 species